rnacentral:rRNA from 1 species
UACAGAGGGUGCGAGCGUUGUUCGGAAUUACUGGGCGUAAAGCGUGCGCAGGCGGUUUUGUAAGUCAGAUGUGAAAUCCCCGGGCUUAACCUGGGAAUGGCAUUUGGGACUGCAAGGCUUGAGUGCGGCAGAGGAGACUGGAAUUCCUGGUGUAGCAGUGAAAUGCGUAGAUAUCAGGAGGAAUACCGAUGGCGAAGGCAGGUCUCUGGGCUGACACUGACGCUCAUGCACGAAAGCGUGGGGAGCAAACAGG